UACGUAGGGUGCAAGCGUUGUCCGGAAUUAUUGGGCGUAAAGAGCUCGUAGGUGGCCUGUCGCGCUCGGCUGUGAAAACUCGGGGCUCAACUCCGAGCUUGCAGUCGAUACGGGCAGGCUAGAGUUCGGCAGGGGAGACUGGAAUUCCUGGUGUAGCGGUGAAAUGCGCAGAUAUCAGGAGGAACACCGGUGGCGAAGGCGGGUCUCUGGGCCGAUACUGACACUGAGGAGCGAAAGCGUGGGGAGCGAACAGG
rnacentral:rRNA from 1 species